AGUCCAGGAUCGGGGAUUAGGCUCCGCGCGAUGCAGCCAUGUCGAGGUGCCCGUUUCCUCCGUUUGAUUGCGUUAAAAAUAUCGAUUCCCGUUGGGGGUGGCUCCAUGUAUCCAGGGUGGAGGUCACAGAACACGCGUCUCCAUUUUUUGAAGGACUUCCCGCAAAUAGAGCAGCUAGUUGGUCUUUCGUCGUGAGUUGGUUGAGGGUUGAGGCUGUCUCCUUGAUUGGAAUCGAAUUGUCCGAGGUCAAUUUUUUCCACACCGUUGCCGGCCGGUAAAGGCAAGCACCGCAUGCACCUCGACGUGGCUGUCGCAAUUCGUAGAGAACCACCCAAUUAAUUGUGGCCUCCCGGCCACCCAAUUAAUUGUGGCCUCCCGAAGAAGCUGCGUA
rnacentral:lncRNA from 1 species